rnacentral:rRNA from 1 species
GUGGGGAAUAUUGCACAAUGGGGGAAACCCUGAUGCAGCGACGCCGCGUGAGUGAUGAAGUAUCUCGGUAUGUAAAGCUCUAUCAGCAGGGAAGAUAAUGACGGUACCUGACUAAGAAGCACCGGCUAAAUACGUGCCAGCAGCCGCGGUAAUACGUAUGGUGCAAGCGUUAUCCGGAUUUACUGGGUGUAAAGGGUGCGUAGGUGGUUGCGCAAGUCAGAAGUGAAAACUAUGGGCUCAACCCAUAGACUGCUUUUGAAACUGCGUAACUAGAGUGCAGGAGAGGAAAGUGGAAUUCCUAGUGUAGCGGUGAAAUGCGUAGAUAUUAGGAGGAACACCAGUGGCGAAGGCGGCUUUCUGGACUGCAACUGACACUGAGGCACGAAAGCGUGGGGAGCAAACAGG